UUUUGGAGCAUGUCAGGGUACAAAGUACGAAAAGAAAAUAUCCUUUAGCCUAUACACAGGCCUAGACAGGGAAAUAAUUAGAGCUCAAUUCUGCAGGAGUACCACUGUAUUUGGUGUUUUUUAUGAUCGUAAUGGUCAUCAUAUAUCGCAUUUUUACAGGGCAAAGCAAGUUUAUGACUUCUGGCUUUAAUGACCACGAUGACAAGCGAAUUGAGCAUUAUUUCGCUUUUCUUACCGCACCACAAUGGUUGUGCUAUACAAUGUUGCCUUACUAAUCUCUAGGAAUAGUAUUACAUGUACACGGAUGUUAUUGGUAAUAUCAAGUCUUUUGCUAAUCCUUCUGGAAGGAACACAGUGUCCCGCAAUAUGUAUCACACGUGUUCACAGUGUGUUCAGUGUGUUCACUAGCUGUGUGUCUAACGGUCAAUGAAUGAACAUCUGAUAGCAGAGAAGUCAAAAUGGUUAACCUUGGUGACUACCUGUGGGUUUUUAUCAUUUUAGCACUUCUUUUAAUCGUAUGCUGCUGUGCAACGUGGAGUAAAAAGCUCAGAAACAAUACCGAUUCAAACGGAGAGAACAAUGAAACGGGCCAGUCCGGUGCAACUGGUGCUAGGAAUCCGAACCGAGCCCGAAUACUUCAUGUUGAAACUAUAUAUUCGCCACCAUCACCGGGUAUCCGGCCGGACGAUUUUUCAGCACCGCCUCUCUAUACGGGAAAUGAGCCUUCCCCCUUUUGUUUUCAAAAUGCAAACGGCCCGGGAUAUGCACUGACGAGUCAGGAUCCAGGAACUCCUUCGCCCCCUCCCUCAUAUGAUGACGUCAUAAAAGCAGAUAACAGGCAAGCUGCCAGGGACAGAAAUAGACAGAAUAGCGAAACAGCGGACACGAAAUUAUGAUAAAGUUCAUUAUGCUUUUGUUAUCUAUUAGAACUGCAUCAUAUCACUGUCAUGCAGCACACUGUAAAAAUUGCGGUGUUAAAACUGACACCAAUUGGUGUUAAUAGAGGACCACACCCUGAGGUGUUAAAAUU